rnacentral:rRNA from 1 species
GAUGCCUACGGGACGCAGCAGUAGGGAAUUUUCGUCAAUGGGGGAAACCCUGAACCAGCAACGCCGCGUGAGGGAAGACGGUUUUCGGAUUGUAAACCUCUGUCCUCUGUGAAGAUGAUGACGGUAGCAGAGGAGGAAGCUCCGGCUAACUACGUGCCAGCAGCCGCGGUAAUACGUAGGGAGCGAGCGUUGUCCGGAUUUACUGGGUGUAAAGGGUGCGUAGGCGGCUUGGCAAGUCAGUAGUGAAAUCCAUGGGCUUAACCCAUGAACUGCUAUUGAAACUGUCGAGCUUGAGUGAAGUAGAG